CAUCAAAAUCUCAGUUGGUGACCAGCGGAGGGUCAUUACCGAGUUU
rnacentral:rRNA from 1 species